CCUACGGGAGGCAGCAGUGAGGAAUAUUGGUCAAUGGGCGCGAGCCUGAACCAGCCAAGUAGCGUGAAGGAUGACUGCCCUACGGGUUGUAAACUUCUUUUAUAAAGGAAUAAAGUGAGGCACGUGUGCCGUUUUGUAGGUACUUUAUGAAUAAGGAUCGGCUAACUCCGUGCCAGCAGCCGGGGUAAUACGUAGGGGGCAAGCGUUGUUCGGAAGGACUGGGGGUAAAGGGUGUGUAGGUGGUUUGUUAAGUUAGAUGUGUAAUACCCAGGGCUUAACUCGGGUGCUGCAUCUAAAACUGUUAGACUUGAGUACUGGAGAGGAUAGUGGAAUUCCUAGUGUAGCGGUGGAAUGCGUAGAUAUUAGGAGGAACAUCAGUGGCGAAGGCGACUAUCUGGACAGCAACUGACACUGAGGCACGAAAGCGUGGGGAGCAAACAGGAUUAGAUACCCGAGUAGUC
rnacentral:rRNA from 1 species